rnacentral:rRNA from 1 species
UCCUACGGGAGGCAGCAGUGGGGAAUAUUGCACAAUGGGCGAAAGCCUGAUGCAGCGACGCCGCGUGCGGGAAAAAGGCCUUCGGGUUGUAAACCGCUUUCAAUUGGGAAGAAGAGAUGAGCGCUAAUAUCGCUCUGAUUUGACGGUACCUUUAGAAGAAGCACCGGCUAAUUUCGUGCCAGCAGCCGCGGUAAUACGAAAGGUGCAAGCGUUGUUCGGAUUUACUGGGCGUAAAGAGAUCGUAGGUGGUUUGUUAAGUCGGAUGUGAAAUCCCAAGGCUCAACCUUGGAACUGCAUUCGAUACUGGCAGGCUAGAGUUUGGGAGGGGUAAGCGGAAUUCCGUGUGUAGCAGUGAAAUGCGUAGAUAUACGGAGGAACACCUGAGGCGAAGGCGGCUUACUGGACCAAUACUGACACUGAGGAUCGAAAGCGUGGGUAGCAAACAGGAUUAGAUACCCUGGUAGUCCACGCCCUAAACGAUGUCAACUAGCCGUAGCGGGUAUCGACCCCUGCUGUGGCGAAGCUAACGCGAUAAGUUGACCGCCUGGGGAGUACGGUCGCAAGAUUAAAACUCAAAGGAAUUGACGG